CGUUCCGUUUGCACGUCUUUCCGCCCCGCGUUUCCCCGCCCCACGUCUCACUGCCAACCUCAGCCCGCCUCGCGUCACGCGGUAGGCCGUCGCUCGGCUGAGAUGUGGGCGGCUCUCGGCGGGGCCGGGGGUCUCCACGUGGGGCUCCUUCUGGGCGGCGCUCGAGGCCUGCACAGCUCGCCUGUCUUCUGCGGCAAGAACCUACUCAAGAAAUUUGCUUCGAAAACUAAGAAGAAGUUUUGGUAUGAAGGUCCUUCCUUGGGCUCUCACUUGGUAAGUAUAGAGUAGUAGCGAUGAGCCACUUGAGAAUCUCGGUGGGUGUGAGGGUCCAAAAGGCGGCAGCUCUCCAGCCCUUCCUUUUCAAUAUUGGAGGGGACACGGUCUGUAGCGGUGGGACUAGAUACACUGGAACCACAGAAUUUUUACCUUUAAAAAAAA